AGCAAACGCUGGCGGCGUGCCUAAUACAUGCAAGUCGAACGAGGAAAGCUUUCGGGUGAGUACUAGUGGCGCACGGGUGAGUAACGCGUGGGUAAUCUACCAUCGAGUGGGGAAUAACUAAUCGAAAGAUUAGCUAAUACCGCAUAAGACCACAGAAGCUACGGCUUCAGAGGUCAAAGGAGCAAUUCGCUUGAUGAUGAGCCCGCGUCGGAUUAGCUAGUUGGUAGGGUAAUGGCCUACCAAGGCAGUGAUCCGUAGCUGGUCUGAGAGGAUGAUCAGCCACACUGGAACUGAGACACGGUCCAGACUCCUACGGGAGGCAGCAGUAGGGAAUAUUGCGCAAUGGGGGGAAACCCUGACGCAGCGACGCCGCGUGAGUGAUGAAGGCCUUCGGGUCGUAAAGCUCUGUUGCAAGGGAAUAAGAAAGUAGAAUGUACCUUGUGAGGAAGGAUCGGCUAACUUCGUGCCAGCAGCCGCGGUAA
rnacentral:rRNA from 1 species